AUUGAACGCUGGCGGCAGGCUUAACACAUGCAAGUCGAGCGGGGUGAUGGUGCUUGCACUAUCACUUAGCGGCGGACGGGUGAGUAAUGCUUAGGAAUCUGCCUAUUAGUGGGGGACAACAUCUCGAAAGGGAUGCUAAUACCGCAUACGUCCUACGGGAGAAAGCAGGGGAUCACUUGUGACCUUGCGCUAAUAGAUGAGCCUAAGUCGGAUUAGCUAGUUGGUGGGGUAAAGGCCUACCAAGGCGACGAUCUGUAGCGGGUCAGAGAGGAUGAUCCGCCACACGGGGACGGAGACACGGCCCAGACUUCUACGGGGGGCAGCAGUGGGGAAUAUUGGCCAAUGGGGGGAACCCUGAUCCAGCCAUGCCGCGUGUGUGAAGAAGGCCUUAUGGUUGUAAAGCACUUUAAGCGAGGAGGAGGCUCUUUUGGUUAAUACCCAAGAUGAGUGGACGUUACUCGCAGAAUAAGCACCGGCUAACUCUGUGCCAGCCGCCGCCGUAA
rnacentral:rRNA from 1 species